AAAAAGGCUUAGAAAAAGAGGAGUAAGAAUAAGAAAUAUUAAAGAGAGAAGGGAUUAGGUGAGAGCCCUUUAUAGGAAUUAUUCUGAAGGUAGCUUUGGAGCUUUCCUUGUGAAAUUAUAGUAGCUAGGAACGGUUGUAAAUCGUUAAUUAAUUAAGUGCAUAGAAAAUAGUAUAAUUUUCUAUGAAUAAAGGUGGUACCACGAGCUUUCGUCCUUUCA
rnacentral:ncRNA from 1 species